rnacentral:rRNA from 1 species
AGAGUUUGAUCCUGGCUCAGAUUGAACGCUGGCGGAAUGCUUUACACAUGCAAGUCGAGCGGCAGCACGGGGGCAACCCUGGUGGCGAGCGGCGAACGGGUGAGUAAUGCAUCGGAACGUACCCAGUCGUGGGGGAUAACUGUCCGAAAGGACAGCUAAUACCGCAUACGUCCUGAGGGAGAAAGCGGGGGAUCGCAAGACCUCGCGCGAUUGGAGCGGCCGAUGCCGGAUUAGCUAGUUGGUAGGGUAAAGGCCUACCAAGGCGACGAUCCGUAGCUGGUCUGAGAGGACGACCAGCCACACUGGAACUGAGACACGGUCCAGACUCCUACGGGAGGCAGCAGUGGGGAAUUUUGGACAAUGGGGGCAACCCUGAUCCAGCCAUUCCGCGUGAGUGAAGAAGGCCUUCGGGUUGUAAAGCUCUUUCGGCAGGAACGAAACGGUGUGGGCUAAUACCCUGCAUCAAUGACGGUACCUGAAGAAGAAGCACCGGCUAACUACGUGCCAGCAGCCGCGGUAAUACGUAGGGUGCGAGCGUUAAUCGGAAUUACUGGGCGUAAAGCGUGCGCAGGCGGUUUUGUAAGACAGAUGUGAAAUCCCCGGGCUUAACCUGGGAACUGCGUUUGUGACUGCAAGACUCGAGUGCGGCAGAGGGGGGUGGAAUUCCACGUGUAGCAGUGAAAUGCGUAGAGAUGUGGAGGAACACCGAUGGCGAAGGCAGCCCCCUGGGUCGACACUGACGCUCAUGCACGAAAGCGUGGGUAGCAAACAGGAUUAGAUACCCUGGUAGUCCACGCCCU